UCGAACGAGGUAGAGCUUGCUCUACUUAGUGUUAAACGGGUGAGUAACGCACGGGAAUCUGCCUUUAGGUAAGGAAUAACCAAGGGAAACUUUGGCUAAUACCUUAUAAUAUGAGUAAUCAUCAAAGAUUUAUCGCCUAAAGAGGAGCCCGUGUCAGAUUAGGUUGUUGGUGGGGUAAAGGCCUACCAAGCCUGUGAUCUGUAGCUGGUCUGAGAGGACGAUCAGCCACACUGGGACUUAGACACGGCCCAGACUCCAACGGGAGGCAGCAGUGGGGAAUAUUGGACAAUGGGGGAAACCCUGAUCCAGCAAUGCCGCGUGAGUGAAGAAGGCCCUUGGGUUGUAAAGCUCUUUCACCUGUGACGAUAAUGACGGUAGCAGGACAAGAAGCCCCGGCUAACUCCGUGCCAGCAGCCGCGGUAAGACGGAGGGGGCUAGCGUUAUUCGGAAUUACUGGGCGUAAAGGGUGCGUCGGCGGNUUCUUAAGCCANGUGUGAAAGCCUGGGGCUCAACCCCANAAUGGC
rnacentral:rRNA from 1 species